GAAACAGCCCAGACCACCAGCUAAGGUCCCAAAAUAUAUGUUAAGUGGAAAAGGAUGUGGCGUUGCCCAGACAACUAGGAUGUUGGCUUAGAAGCAGCCAUCAUUUAAAGAGUGCGUAAUAGCUCACUAGUCGAGUGACACUGCGCCGAAAAUGUACCGGGGCUAAACAUAUUACCGAAGCUGUGGAUUGUCCUUUGGACAAUGGUAGGAGAGCGUUCUAAGGGCGUUGAAGCAUGAUCGUAAGGACAUGUGGAGCGCUUAGAAGUGAGAAUGCCGGUGUGAGUAGCGAAAGACGGGUGAGAAUCCCGUCCACCGAUUGACUAAGGUUUCCAGAGGAAGGCUCGUCCGCUCUGGGUUAGUCGGGUCCUAAGCUGAGGCCGACAGGCGUAGGCGAUGGAUAACAGGUUGAUAUUCCUGUACCACCUAUAAUCGUUUUAAUCGAUGGGGGGACGCAGUAGGAUAGGCGAAGCGUGCGAUUGGAUUGCACGUCUAAGCAGUAAGGCUGAGUAUUAGGCAAAUCCGGUACUCGUUAAGGCUGAGCUGUGAUGGGGAGAAGACAUUGUGUCUUCGAGUCGUUGAUUUCACACUGCCGAGAAAAGCCUCUAGAUAGAAAAUAGGUGCCCGUACCGCAAACCGACACAGGUAGUCAAGAUGAGAAUUCUAAGGUGAGCGAGCGAACUCUCGUUAAGGAACUCGGCAAAAUGACCCCGUAACUUCGGGAGAAGGGGUGCUCUUUAGGGUUAACGCCCAGAAGAGCCGCAGUGAAUAGGCCCAAGCGACUGUUUAUCAAAAACACAGGUCUCUGCUAAACCGUAAGGUGAUGUAUAGGGGCUGACGCCUGCCCGGUGCUGGAAGGUUAAGAGGAGUGGUUAGCUUCUGCGAAGCUACGAAUCGAAGCCCCAGUAAACGGCGGCCGUAACUAUAACGGUCCUAAGGUAGCGAAAUUCCUUGUCGGGUAAGUUCCGACCCGCACGAAAGGCGUAACGAUUUGGGCACUGUCUCAACGAGAGACUCGGUGAAAUCAUAGUACCUGUGAAGAUGCAGGUUACCCGCGACAGGACGGAAAGACCCCGUGGAGCUUUACUGUAGCCUGAUAUUGAAAUUCGGCACAGCUUGUACAGGAUAGGUAGGAGCCUUUGAAACGUGAGCGCUAGCUUACGUGGAGGCGCUGGUGGGAUACUACCCUAGCUGUGUUGGCUUUCUAACCCGCACCACUUAUCGUGGUGGGAGACAGUGUCAGGCGGGCAGUUUGACUGGGGCGGUCGCCUCCUAAAAGGUAACGGAGGCGCUCAAAGGUUCCCUCAGAAUGGUUGGAAAUCAUUCAUAGAGUGUAAAGGCAUAAGGGAGCUUGACUGCGAGACCUACAAGUCGAGCAGGGUCGAAAGACGGACUUAGUGAUCCGGUGGUUCCGCAUGGAAGGGCCAUCGCUCAACGGAUAAAAGCUACCCCGGGGAUAACAGGCUUAUCUCCCCCAAGAGUUCACAUCGACGGGGAGGUUUGGCACCUCGAUGUCGGCUCAUCGCAUCCUGGGGCUGUAGUCGGUCCCAAGGGUUGGGCUGUUCGCCCAUUAAAGCGGUACGCGAGCUGGGUUCAGAACGUCGUGAGACAGUUCGGUCCCUAUCCGUCGUGGGCGUAGGAAAUUUGAGAGGAGCUGUCCUUAGUACGAGAGGACCGGGAUGGACAUACCUCUGGUGUACCAGUUGUCGUGCCAACGGCAUAGCUGGGUAGCUAUGUGUGGACGGGAUAAGUGCUGAAAGCAUCUAAGCAUGAAGCCCCCCUCAAGAUGAGAUUUCCCAACUUCGGUUAUAAGAUCCCUCAAAGAUGAUGAGGUUAAUAGGUUCGAGGUGGAAGCAUGGUGACAUGUGGAGCUGACGAAUACUAAUCGAUCGAAGAC
rnacentral:rRNA from 1 species